GACGAACGCUGGCGGCGUGCCUAAUACAUGCAAGUCGAACGCAGUGGGGACGGGUGAGUAACACGUGGGUAACCUCCCAUCAGAGGGGAUAACACUUGGAAACAGGUGCUAAACCGAUACUGAUGGAUGGACCCGCGGUGCAUUAGCCAGUCGGGGGGGUAACGGCUCACCAAGGCUACGAUGCGUAGCCGGGUUGAGAGGGUGACCGGCCACACUGGGACUGAGACACGGCCCAGACUCCUACGGGAGGCAGCAGUGGGGAAUCUUCGGCAAUGGACGAAAGUCUGACCGAGCAACGCCGCGUGAGUGAAGAAGGUUUUCGGAUCGUAAAACUCUGUUGUUAGAGAAGCGGUAUCUAACCAGAAAGCAACGGCUAACUACGUGCCAGCCGCCGCGGUAAUUC
rnacentral:rRNA from 1 species